rnacentral:rRNA from 1 species
GACGAACGCUGGCGGCGCGCUUAACACAUGCAAGUCGAACGGAAAGGCCUGCUUUCCCUUGUGGAUUGCGGGUACUCGAGUGGCGAACGGGUGAGUAACACGUGAGUGAUCUGCCCCCAACUUGGGUAUAAGCCUGGGAAACUGGGUCUAAUUCCCGAUAGGACUGCAGGGUGGUGCCUGUGGUGGAAAACGAUUUCCUAGUGGUUGGGGAUGAGCUCGCGGCCUAUCAGCUUGUUGGUGGGGUAAUGGCCUACCAAGGCGGCGACGGGUAGCCGGCCUGAGAGGGUGGACGGCCACAUUGGGACUGAGAUACGGCCCAGACUCCUACGGGAGGCAGCAGUGGGGAAUAUUGCACAAUGGGCGGAAGCCUGAUGCAGCGACGCCGCGUGGGGGAUGACGGCCUUCGGGUUGUAAACUCCUUUCGACCGCGAGGAAGCCACCUGGUUGGAAGGGUGGUGACGGUAGUGGUAGAAGAAGCACCGGCUAACUACGUG